rnacentral:rRNA from 1 species
UUCCGGUUGAUCCUGCCGGACCCCACUGCUAUCGAGGUGGGACUUAGCCAUGCUAGUUGAGCGCACAGAACUAUGUCUGUGAGCGGCACACUGCUCAGUAACACGUAGCUAACCUACCCUUAGGACGUGGACAACCCCGAGAAAUUGGGGCUAAUCCGCGAUAGAUGUAUUGUCCUGGAAUGGUAUUACGUCUAAAGGUAUCCCAUACAUGUUUGGUAUAUGCCUAAGGAUGGGGCUGCGGCCGAUCAGGCUGUUGGUGAGGUAAUGGCUCACCAAACCUUUGACCGGUAUGGGCCAUGAGAGUGGUAGCCCAGAGAUGGACACUGAGACAAGGGUCCAGGCCCUACGGGGCGCAGCAGGCGCGAAACCUCCUCAAUGCACUAACGUGCGAAGGGGUUACCUCGAGUGCCACCUGAAGAAGGUGGCUUUUCCUUGGUCUAAAAAGCCUAGGGAAUAAGAGGGGGGCAAGACAGGUGUCAGCCGCCGCGGUAACACCAGCCCCUCGAGUGGUGGGGAUGAUUAUUUGGCCUAAAGCGUCCGUAGCCGGCCGGGUAAGUUUCCCGUUAAAUCCAGCGUCUCAAGCGUUGGACUGCGGGAAAUACUGCCUGGCUAGAGAGUGGGAGAGGUCAGCGGUACUCUGGGGGUAGGGGCGAAAUCCUUUGAUCCCCGGAGGACCACCAGUGGCGAAGGCUGCUGACUAGAACACGUCUGACGGUCAGGGACGAAAGCUGGGGUAGCGAACCGGAUUAGAUACCCGGGUAGUCCCAGCCGUAAACGAUGCAUGCUA